rnacentral:rRNA from 1 species
UAAGGAAUAUUGGACAAUGGAGGCAACUCUGAUCCAGCCAUGCCGCGUGAAGGAAUAAGGCCCUAUGGGUUGUAAACUUCUUUUAGACGGGACAAAACCCCUUUACGUGUAAAGGGUUGAUGGUACUGUCAGAAUAAGCAUCGGCUAACUUCGUGCCAGCAGCCGCGGUAAUACGAAGGAUGCAAGCGUUAUCCGGAAUUAUUGGGUUUAAAGGGUGCGUAGGCGGACUAAUAAGUCAGUGGUGAAAGCCUGCAGCUUAACUGCAGAAUUGCCAUUGUUACUGUUAGUCUUGAGUACAGUUGAGGUAGGCGGAAUGUGUCAUGUAACGGUGAAAUGCUUAGAUAUGACACAGAACACCGAUUGCGAAGGCAGCUUGCUAAGCUGUAACUGACGCUGAGGCACGAAAGCGUGGGGAGCAAACA